CCUACGGGAGGCAGCAGUAAGGAAUAUUGGUCAAUGGACGCAAGUCUGAACCAGCCAUGCCGCGUGAAGGAUUAAGGUCCUCUGGAUUGUAAACUUCUUUUAUUUGGGACGAAAAAAGGGCCUUUCUAGGUCAACUGACGGUACCAGAUGAAUAAGCACCGGCUAACUCCGUGCCAGCAGCCGCGGUAAUACGGAGGGUGCAAGCGUUAUCCGGAUUCACUGGGUUUAAAGGGUGCGUAGGCGGGUAGGUAAGUCAGUGGUGAAAUCCUGGAGCUCAACUCCAGAACUGCCAUUGAUACUAUUUAUCUUGAAUAUUGUGGAGGUAAGCGGAAUAUGUCAUGUAGCGGUGAAAUGCUUAGAUAUGACAUAGAACACCUAUUGCGAAGGCAGCUUACUACGCAUAUAUUGACGCUGAGGCACGAAAGCGUGGGGAUCAAACAGGAUUAGAUACCCUGGUAGUCCACGCCCUAAACUAUGAUUACUCGACAUUUGUGAUACACAAUAAGUGUCUGAGCGAAAGCAUUAAGUAAUCCACCUGGAAGUACGUCCGCAAGGAUGAAACUCAAAGGAAUUGACGG
rnacentral:rRNA from 1 species